rnacentral:rRNA from 1 species
AUUGAACGCUGGCGGCAGGCUUAACACAUGCAAGUCGAACGAGUGGCGGACGGGUGAGUAAUGCUUGGGCAUCUAGCUUAUGGAGGGGGAUCACUACGGGAAACUGUAGCUAAUACCGCGUACCAUAGGAUGAGCCCAUGUGGGAUUAGGUAGUUGGUGAGGUAAAGGCUCACCAAGCCGACGAUCUAUAGCUGGUCUGAGAGGAUGAUCAGCCACAAUGGGACGGAGACACGGCCCAGACUCCUACGGGAGGCAGCAGUGGGGAAUAUUGCACAAUGGGCGAAAGCCUGAUGCAGCCAUGCCGCGUGGAUGAAGAAGGCCUUCGGGUUGUAAAGUACUUUCAGUCGGGAGGCGUUACCGACAGAAGAAGCAACGGCUAACUCCGUGCCAGCAGCCGCGGUAAUUC